rnacentral:lncRNA from 1 species
UGUUCCGACGAGACGGCCACACAAAAAAUGUAGCUACCGCACGGUGGGGGUUGCCAGCCAGUAAUAACGUCCGCUGGCUAUACUGAUCAGCAGGUGGAGUGGGGCUUGGAUUUUUUUGCUCUGCGUGCGUCCUGAUGCUCCAGCCGUCUUGUUGGAAGCCGAUCAGGAUCAUCAAAAGGGGUGACCCUGUGCGGCAGGGAAGAAUGCGCCAUCUCUACCAUCUACUUGUUUGGGCAGUCUGAUGCACGGUGACCGGAUUCACCGCAGUUGAAACAAGCGCCACUGAAGCUUCUGUUACUGCAAAAAAGCGGAAGACUAUUAGCCUUAGAAACAGAAAGAUCGUCAUGCGUAGUACUAGUUUGCAGUGUGGUAACUGAUUUAUCUUUUGUUCUGAGAAUAACUUUCAAGGUAAUUUCGGAUCAUGGUUCCAGGAGGCAAGAAUGGCCUGUGGCAAGAUCUAGUAGGCUAAACAGACACUACUUCACCUGUCAGCAUUAGUAAUCAAACAUUAGGUUUCCAUAUACUCCUAUACUAAUGGAUACUCAAGCUUGAUGAAGGAAAUACCAGGUCGCUCUAAGUGAACUACCUAAGGAAGAACCAAUACCUGGGUAGCACGAACCUAGAAUUGCUAACUUUGCUACAUUGCAUAGAAUCUUGCGAAGCUUACCUCUCCCUACCACCGAAGGAUGAUGAGCGACCACCGAAGGAUGGUGAGCCACGGCUGCCAUAAGAUGAUGAGCGGCUACCAAAGGACGAGGAACGGUUUGAUUUUCUCCCACCGCUUGACCAGUCAUCAUCUGACCAACUAUCGUUGUCAGACCUAAAGCUCCUGCCACCACGGCGGAAUCGAUCCUCACUGUCAGU